UACGGGGGGGGCAAGCGUUGUUCGGAAUUACUGGGCGUAAAGGGCUCGUAGGCGGCCAACUAAGUCCGACGUGAAAUCCCCAGGCUUAACCGGGGAACUGCAUCUGAUACUGGAUGGCUUGAGUUCGGGAGAGGGAUGCGGAAUUCCAGGUGUAGCGGUGAAAUGCGUAGAUAUCUGGAGGAACACCGGUGGCGAAGGCGGCAUCCCGGACCGACACUGACGCUGAGGAGCGAAAGCCAGGGGAGCAAACGGG
rnacentral:rRNA from 1 species